UGAGGAAUAUUGGUCAAUGGGCGAGAGCCUGAACCAGCCAAGUAGCGUGCAGGAUGACGGCCCUAUGGGUUGUAAACUGCUUUUAUGUGGGGAUAAAGUGAGCUACGUGUAGUUUAUUGCAGGUACCACAUGAAUAAGGACCGGCUAAUUCCGUGCCAGCAGCCGCGGUAAUACGGAAGGUCCAGGCGUUAUCCGGAUUUAUUGGGUUUAAAGGGAGCGUAGGCCGUGGAUUAAGCGUGUUGUGAAAUGUAGACGCUCAACGUCUGAAUUGCAGCGCGAACUGGUUCACUUGAGUAUGCACAACGUAGGCGGAAUUCGUCGUGUAGCGGUGAAAUGCUUAGAUAUGACGAAGAACUCCGAUUGCGAAGGCAGCUUACGGGAGCACAACUGACGCUGAAGCUCGAAGGUGCGGGUAUCAAACAGGAUUAGAUACCCUGGUAGUCCGCACAGUAAACGAUGGAUGCCCGUUGUUAGUUCACUUUAGAAUUAGCGACCAAGCGAAAGCAUUAAGCAUCCCACCUGGGGAGUACGCCGGCAACGGUG
rnacentral:rRNA from 1 species